AUACUUUGAUGAGAGUGGCGCACGGGUGCGUAACGCGUAUGCAACCUACCUUUAACAGGGGAAUAGCCCCGAGAAAUCGGGAUUAAUACUCCGUAACAUUGCGGUGUGGCAUCACACUGCACUUAAAGCUGAGGCGGUUAAAGAUGGGCAUGCGUGACAUUAGCUAGUUGGUGAGGUAACGGCUCACCAAGGCAACGAUGUCUAGGGGUCCUGAGAGGUUUAUCCCCCACACUGGAACUGAGACACGGUCCAGACUCCUACGGGAGGCAGCAGUGGGGAAUUUUGCGCAAUGGGGGAAACCCUGACGCAGCAACGCCGCGUGGGUGAUGAAGGCCUUCGGGUCGUAAAGCUCUGUCUGGAGGGAAGAAAUGAUUGGGAGCUAAUACCUCUUGAUCUUGACGGUACCUCUGAAGGAAGCACCGGCUAACUCCGUGCCAGCAGCCGCGGUAAUACGGAGGGUGCAAGCGUUGUUCGGAAUUAUUGGGCGUAAAGCGCGUGUAGGCGGUCUUUUAAGUCUGAUGUGAAAGCCCCGGGCUCAACCUGGGAAGUGCAUUGGAAACUGGCAGACUUGAAUACGGGAGAGGGUAGUGGAAUUCCUAGUGUAGGAGUGAAAUCCGUAGAUAUUAGGAGGAACACCGGUGGCGAAGGCGGCUACCUGGACCGAUAUUGACGCUGAGACGCGAAAGCGUGGGGAGCAAACAGGAUUAGAUACCCUGGUAGUCCACGCCGUAAACGAUGAGUACUAGGUGU
rnacentral:rRNA from 1 species